AAGUCGUAACAAGGUUUCCGUAGGUGAACCUGCGGAAGGAUCAUUAACACGUAUCCACCCUUACAAACACCAACCCGAUACUUGAACUUCGUCAGGGUUCGCUCUUGAUCUUUGACUGAGCUUCAGGACUCGAGAUUCAUUUAUGUUGAACCGGCGACGAAGGCCAGUUUCAUCCGGGUGGUGGAACUGGUCUGAGCCUGGGUCCAUUAUGCUUCUUUUGAGACCUGCUGCAUCUCGAGUUCAAUGAGACGGUGUCUUUGACGUUUCUGUAAACGAAUCUGACACUGCUGACUUGAAGGUCUCGUAUCACCCUUUUACUCAAUGAACCUAAUUUUCAGUAUAUUUGACUUUAGCUUGAAGAACUUCGUGAUCUUCGCGAGUCAUUUAUAAAACUAGUACAACUCUUAGCAACGGAUGUCUUGGUUCUC
rnacentral:misc_RNA from 1 species